rnacentral:tmRNA from 1 species
GGGGGCGAUCGGCUUCGACGUGGGUCGCGAAACUUCAGAGGCGUACCGAGGCGCAUGGCCCUCGUUAAUCACUGUGCAAACUCUAGUUGCCAACGACGACAACUACGCUCUGGCGGCUUAAUCCCGCCUAACCUCCGACCCGCUGGUGCCUGUGCCACGGAACCGGGGGACGCGCUCACAGGAUCGCGAUGCUUCGUGCUACGGGGCGCAUCGUUAAGAGACACCGUUAGCUGGCUGAGCGUCUUCCCUGCUGCUUGGGUAGCGUGAGGCGAGAACACAAAAAGACAGCUACGUACGUAGAUUCUGAAAUGUAGGGCUUGCGGACGCGGGUUCGAUUCCCGCCGCCUCCACCA